GCGUCAUUAGUAUAAAGGUUAUUAUGCCACACUUCCAAUGUGGAUAUGUCAGUUCGAUUCUGAUAUGACGCU
rnacentral:tRNA from 1 species